GAGUUUGAUCUUGGCGCAGGACGAACGCUGGCGGCGUGCUUAACACAUGCAAGUCGAGCGGUAAGGCCUUUCGGGGGUACACGAGCGGCGAACGGGUGAGUAACACGUGAGUAAUCUGCCCUUCACUUCGGGAUAACUACCGGAACGGUAGCUAAUACCGAAUACGACGCACUCUCGCAUGAGGUGUGCGUGGAAAGUUUUGUCGGUGGAGGAUGUGCUCGCGGCCUAUCAGCUUGUUGGUGAGGUAAUGGCUCACCCAAGGCUUCGACGGGUAGCCGGCCUGAGAGGGUGACCGGCCACACUGGGACUGAGACACGGCCCAGACUCCUACGGGAGGCAGCAGUGGGGAAUAUUGGACAAUGGCGAAAGCCUGAUCCAGCAACGCCGCGUGAGGGAUGACGGCCUCGG
rnacentral:rRNA from 1 species